rnacentral:rRNA from 1 species
UACGGAGGGUGCGAGCGUUGUCCGGAAUCACUGGGCGUAAAGGGCGCGUAGGCGGUGUGUCGCGUCGGCCGUGAAAACCUGCAGCUUAACUGUGGGCUUGCGGUCGAUACGGGCAUCACUGGAGUUCGGCAGGGGAGACUGGAAUUCCUGGUGUAGCGGUGAAAUGCGCAGAUAUCAGGAAGAACACCCGUGGCGAAGGCGGCUCUCUGGGACGGUACUGACGCUGAGACGCGAAAGCGUGGGGAGCGAACAGG